UACGUAGGGUGCGAGCGUUGUCCGGAAUUACUGGGCGUAAAGAGCUCGUAGGUGGUUUGUCGCGUUGUUCGUGAAAACUCACAACUCAAUUGUGGGCGUGCGGGCGAUACGGGCAGACUGGAGUACUGCAGGGGAGACUGGAAUUCCUGGUGUAGCGGUGGAAUGCGCAGAUAUCAGGAGGAACACCGGUGGCGAAGGCGGCGAUCUGGCCCAACAUUGACACUGAGACCCGAAAGCGUGGGGAGCAAACAGG
rnacentral:rRNA from 1 species